UUCUUAACCUUUUUGUGUCAUGGU
rnacentral:miRNA from 1 species